AACGAACGCUGGCGGCAGGCCUAACACAUGCAAGUCGAACGGACGUAGCAAUACGUUAGUGGCGCACGGGAGAGUAACGCGUGGGAACCUACCUUUUGGUUCGGGAUAACAUCGGGAAACUGGUGCUAAUACCGGAUAAGCCCUUCGGGGGAAAGAUUUAUUGCCGAAAGAUGGGCCCGCGUUGGAUUAGCUAGUUGGUGAGGUAAUGGCUCACCAAGGCAACGAUCCAUAGCUGGUCUGAGAGGAUGAUCAGCCUCACUGGGACUGAGACACGGCCCAGACUCCUACGGGAGGCAGCAGUGGGGAAUAUUGGACAAGGGGGGAAACCCUGAUCCAGCCAUGCCGCGUGAACGAUGAAGGCCUUCGGGUUGUAAAGUUCUUUUGGUGGGGACGAUGAUGACGGUACCCACAGAAUAAGCUCCGGCUAACUUCGUGCCAGCCGCCGCGGUAA
rnacentral:rRNA from 1 species